GGCCCUGGGGAUUCUGGUGGCUUUUAAAAGACACUCAAUUCAAAGGCCGGUGUCUUGAAUCACAUUUUGGAAUUGGCUUGUGCUUUUUCCUGCUAAUUUUCUUCGCUCCUAAUUAACAUGCCAUGAAAACUCUAAAAUCAGCACAAUAUGAAAGACAUUUGCCUCUUUGUAACAGCAGAUCGGGGUGCAGGAAGAGCACUGAUGUGACUUUAUUGAUGACAUGCUGGGACAGAUUAAAUAUAGAAGUAACGUAAUUAAGCCUGAGUUUACUGUCUAUAAUGAGUCCCCUGUAUUUGAGAUCACUCAGCUGCCAUUAAUGAAUGUUUGAUUUCAGUCCACCGCAGGCUUGACUGCAGCUCCGGUAAUCAAUUACAGCUAGUUUGCUGUCUUGAACGUAAUCCAUGUGCAGCCAGGAUUCCAACCAAGUGAUGUGAAGCGAAGGCAAAGUAGUGUUGGCGGAAAGACCUGUUAAAACUCAAGACGUGACCCAAGAAGACAGACAAGGAAGGCAGCGUACAACGGUCCACGUUCUACUCGUGAAUACGACAGUGAACCAAGCCAAAACCCAGUAAGAUGCUUCAAGCUGAGGGAAGACGUGGUGACCUAAAGGCAAGAGAAGAAAAGGCAACGAGCUCAAGGAAUCAAAGCCUGGAGCACUCAGGUGUAGAGGCAGCCAGCACGAGAGAUGGAUCAACCACGCCCCUAGAGGACAAAAUAGAGCAUCGCAGCCAAACACAGACCAGACACAGGAUCAUAACAACACCAAUACCCCGGGGCCACUUUCCACCUAAGAAAAGUGGAUCAAGCACUU
rnacentral:lncRNA from 1 species